rnacentral:tRNA from 1 species
GGUGAUGGCAGCUCAGCGGGCAGAGCCUUCGCCUGGUAUGCGGAAAAAACCCGGAUUCGAUUCCCGGCUGCUCCG